GACGUAGGGGCGCGAGCGUUUGUCCGGAUUUAUUGGGCGUAAAGAGCGUCGUAGGCGGCUUGUCGCGUCGGUUACCGGUGAAAACCCUGGCAGCUCAAACUGCAGGCUUGCGGUCGAUACGGGCAGGCUGGAGUUCGGUAGGGAGACGUGGAAUUCCUGGUGCAGCGGUGUAAAUGAGCGCAGAGUAGUCAGGAGGAACACCGGUGGCGAAGGCG
rnacentral:rRNA from 1 species